GGCAGUGUGACUGGCAAUAGCAUUAAGAACUUACCAUGAUCUGCCUCUUCCCCUCACCCCCAACCUGGAUAUAGGUUCAAGGACGGCCUGGCUACCCUGAACCUUUUCAAUGCUCUGGAACAACAUCCCUCCCUGUUCCUGCCUUACUUGGUUUACAGCGCGGAAGACCUGAAAGCAGAGACUCUAGAGGCGCUGUUCCGUCCACAAAUGAGCCCAACUGGUAGCUCAAACCGCCAGGAGGAGGAGAGUGCUUGGCUACUGGCUGGACUACUUAAUCGCUGUAAAAGAGGAAGCAUCUGGGCUGCCCCUGCAGGACGUUCUGAUGUUUGCAACAGGCCUAAAAGAAAUCCCAGCAGCAAAAUUAACACCACAGCCUCAACUCACAUUC